AUUGAACGCUGGCGGCAGGCCUAACACAUGCAAGUCGAGCGAGCGGCGGACGGGUGAGUAAUGUCUGGGAAACUGCCUGAUGGAGGGGGCUAACUACUGGAAACGGUAGCUAAUACCGCAUACCAUCAGAUGUGCCCAGAUGGGAUGAGCUAGUAGGUGGGGUAACGGCUUACCUAGGCGACGAUCCCUAGCUGGUCUGAGAGGAUGACCAGCCCCACUGGAACUGAGCCACGGUCCAUACUCCUUCGUGAAGCCACAGUGGGGAAUAUUACACAAUGGGCGCAAGCCUGAUGCAGCCAUGCCGCGUGUGUGAAGAAGGCCUUCGGGUUGUGAAGCACUUUCAGCGGGGAGGCUUUACCCGCAGUAGAAGCACCGGCUAACUCCGUGCCAGCAGCCGCGGUAUUUC
rnacentral:rRNA from 1 species